rnacentral:rRNA from 1 species
GACGAGGGGCCCGAGCGUUAUCCGGAAUCACUGGGCUUAAAGGGUGCGCAGGCGGCUCUAUAAGCCAGUUGUGAAAGAUCUGAGCUUAACCGAGAAAUUGCUGUUCAUACUGUAGAUCUAGAGGCUGGUUGAGGUCAGCGGAAUGUGGGAUGGAGCGGUGAAAUGCAUAGAUAUGGCACAGAACGCCGAUGGUGAAGGCAGCUGGCUGGGCUUGUAUUGACGAUGAGGCACGAAAGCGUGGGGAGCAAACAGG